GCUGCAAACUGCCCUCAGGGCAAAGAAGCCUGCAGAAUAAUUGGGAGGAGUCUGGCAGGAAGGAAGCCAAGAAUCAGUAUUUCAAGCAUCCAAAAUGUGUAGGAGAAUAUGGACCCAAGAACGGAGCAGAGAGACAAAUAGAGGAACGGAAAGUUUUGCCUACAACCAUGAUGUUCUCAAUGUUAGCUGACUGUGUUCUAAAAUCCACUCCAAUUCCCAUUUUGGGAGUUGCUAUGUGAUGAAGGUCUGCCCCUGUGGUGUUGGGACAACUUGCUCAUGGAGUUGCAGUUCUUGCCUAACAGGAACCCACCAUGAAAGCACAAGCAAGAAUGUGUGAGAAGAUCACAGAGACCUAAAGAAGGGGAAGGGAAGAACCCACAUGUGAGAGAGAAGAGAUUGUCUGACUUGUCAGUGUUCCUAAUUGCACUGCCCCUGGAAAACGCACGGAGAAGAAAUACAGCAAAA
rnacentral:lncRNA from 1 species